GGAUGUGAGGGAGAUCUGGCUGCGACAUCUGUCACCCCAUUGAUCGCCAGGGUUGAUUCGGCUGAUCUGGCUGGCUAGGCAGGUGACCCCCUCCUCCCUCACCGAUCCAUGUGCGUCCCUCCCGAAGCUGCGCGCUCGGUCGAAGAGGACGACCUUCCCCCCCGAGGAGAGGACUGGUCUUCGGUCAAGGGUAUACGAGUAGCUGCGCUCCCCUGCUAGAAUCUCCAAACAAGCUCUCAACGAACCACAAGUGCUGGAGAGGAUGCAGAGAAAAAGUAACCCUUGUGCACUGCUGGUGGGAAUGCUGUUUGGUGCAGCCA
rnacentral:snRNA from 1 species